GUCUACAGCUAUACCACCCUGAACAUGACUGAUCUUGGAAGCUAAGCAGGGUUGGUCCUGGUUAGUGCUUGGACGGGAGACUGACUGGACC
rnacentral:rRNA from 1 species